rnacentral:tRNA from 1 species
GCUCUUGUGGUCCAGUGGUUAAGAUUUGGCACUCUUACCGCCAUAGCCUGGGUUCGUUUCCCAAUCGGGGCA